rnacentral:rRNA from 1 species
AAUAUUGGAUAAUGGGCUCCAGCCUGACCCAGCCAUGCCGCGUCUGCGAAGAACUUCUUCGCAUUGUAUAGCACUUUAAGUUGGGAGGAAGGGUUGUCGAUUACUACUCUGCAAUUUUCCCGUUCCCAACAGCAUAAGCCCCGGCUAACUUCGUGCCAGCAGGCGCGUUAAUACGAAGGGUGCAAGCGUUAAUCGGAAUUACUGGGCGUAAAGCGCGCGUAGGUGGGUUGUAAAGUUGGAAGUGAAAGCCCCGGGCUCAACCUGGGAACUGCUUUAAAAACUGGCAAGCUAGAGUAUGGCAGAGGGUGGUGGAAUUUCCUGUGUAGCGGUGAAAUGCGUAGAUAUAGGAAGGAACACCAGUGGCGAAGGCGACUACCUGGACUGAUACUGACACUGAGGUGCGAAAGCGUGGGGAGCAAA